GAGAGUAGUGGACAGAAGGGAUUU
rnacentral:piRNA from 1 species